rnacentral:tRNA from 1 species
GUCGGGGUAGCUCAGUUGGUGAGAGCGUAGCAUUCAUAACGCUAAGGUCGAGAGUUCAAGUCUCUCCCCCGGCA